rnacentral:rRNA from 1 species
GACGAACGCUGGCGGCGUGCCUAAUACAUGCAAGUCGAACGCAGUGGGGACGGGUGAGUAACACGUGGGUAACCUCCCAUCAGAGGGGAUAACACUUGGAAACAGGUGCUAAACCGAUACUGAUGGAUGGACCCGCGGUGCGUAAGCUAGUUGGUGAGGUAACGGCUCACCAAGGCCACGAUGCAUAGCGGACCGUGAGGGUGGAUCGGCCACACGAGGACGGAGCCACGGCACAGACACCUACGAGAGGCAGCAGUAGGGAAUCUUCGGGAAUGGACGAAAGUCUGACCGAGCAACGCCGCGUGAGUGAAGAAGGUUUUCGGAUCGUAAAACUCUGUUGUUAGAGAAGCGGUAUCUAACCAGAGAGCCACGGCUAACUACGUGCCAGCAGCCGCGGUAAUUC